rnacentral:rRNA from 1 species
UACGUAGGAGGCGAGCGUUGUCCGGAUUCACUGGGCGUAAAGGGCGCGUAGGCGGCGGCUUGAGUCCCUGCGUGAAAUCUCCCGGCUCAACCGGGAGGGUGCGCGGGAUACUGGGCGGCUUGAGGACAUCAGAGGAGAGCGGAAUCCCCGGUGUAGUGGUGAAAUGCGUAGAUAUCGGGGGGAACACCAGUGGCGAAGGCGGCUCUCUGGGGUGCACCUGACGCUGAUGCGCGAAAGCGUGGGGAGCGAACCGGG